GUUUUAACACGACACUGGAACAGGGUGGGGCAACAAUUCGUUCAUCCUGUUCGCAGUUAUUCCCGGAUAUUUAACAAUUAGCUUGCCUUUAAAACUCAUUCCUGGACAUCAUUGGAUAAUAAUAACAAUAAUUUUUUUAAAAAAGGAUAUAACUUGAGAAGCGAACUGCACAAUGCCUAACGUUGCCAACAACCCACUGGAUGAUGGAGUUCUGAGUCAGGGCUUGCUGAACUGCAGGGCUCAGAACUGUAAUAAUGUGGGAGAUUGCGUGAUUCAGGACGGAUUGCAGGUUUGUAAAUGUUUGCUGGGCUACAGAGGACACUCAUGCCAAGAAACGGUCAAUGACGGAUUAGCCGCCCCACUCACUCUGGGAGUCUUGGGCUUCAUCAUUGGCUUCAUUGUCCUGGCAUUUGUUCUAGCAUUUGUCCAGCAAAGGAGGAGAGAACGUUUAUGGGAACAAACCAACGAGAAAAGGGAGGAAUUGAAAAAGAACGGUGAUUUUUCUCACACAAAAAUAGGUUUGUGAUUACUUCACUGCAACACAAGACAAAACCCCAAUAAAAGGAAAAAGGGGAUUUUUGUAUGUAUAAAGUAUUUCCACUUCGACAAGAACGAAUACUCAUCUGCAUUGUUUGCUUGGAAGCAUGCCUUAAAAGUUUGGGAACUUUUAUACUUCAUACAAAUUCCACAUUUCUACUUUUAAAGGAAUGGAGACGACGCGUGUCUUGUGCUUGGGUGCUCAAAGGCUCUGGUUGCUAAAUGCUAAUGACUGAUAUUUUCUGUGUCUAGCUGUUUAGGCCAAAGUUUUUCUCAAUGUAUUUUCUCAGCGCAAAAGCAUUUUAAAUGCCUUGUGUUGGAAACAUGAAAUGUCACCGAUACUGAUAAUCUCAUUUUACUCUCAAUCUGGUGGGACUGAGGCAAUAACUAUGCAGUAUUUUACGUGCUUAAACUAUCAAGUAUUUCAGUAAUGUGUUGUGCUUGUGUUUGUAUAGCUUCAGAUCUAACUGGUCACUUCAAACCAUGCGGCAUUUAGAUUGACUUCAAGAAUUAUGUGCUCUGUAUUGGGUUGUUUGGGGAAACUCUUGUAUAUUUGAGACAGAUUAACACAUUUCAGUGCCCUUGAGUCUUGAGAAAGAGCAGUAGAAUUAGAUGGUCCACUGUGUUCACAUGUGCUGAUUUAUCCUCUAAAUAUGGCCUGGAAAUCACUCAGGGGAUUUUAUGUUCCAUAAUUGUUUUAUGAAAGCUUUUUAAAAUCUGUUUGUAAUUUACUUAUAAAUUUUCACAUAAAAAUAAAAUCAUUUUGCUCUCUGUGC